CCGCCGGCGACCGGCGCACGGGUGAGUAACACGUAUGCAACCUGGCCGUGACAGAUGGAUAACCGGGAGAAAUCCCGCCUAAUACAACAUGAUGCCGGGAGGGGACAUCCCCUGCCGGCCAAAGGGGGCGACCCCGGUCACGGAUGGGCAUGCGGCGCAUUAGGUAGUUGGUGGGGCAACGGCCCACCAAGCCGACGAUGCGUAGGGGUUCUGAGAGGAAGGUCCCCCACAUUGGAACUGAGACACGGUCCAAACUCCUACGGAAGGCAGCAG
rnacentral:rRNA from 1 species